CCCAUUUCACUCUCUCAUCAUCCCUCUUCUCUCUCUCUCUUUCUCUCUGUUUCUGCUUUGUUUUCUAUUUAUGUUUUGCCUUCAUUGUUAAUUAGCCCUAAUUUAUAUACAUAACUCUCUCUUUUUCUGAUUUUGUUUUUUCCCAAUGUGAUUCUUUACAACCCAUUUCUCACCCUGAACUUCUCUUCCCCUCUCACCAUUGAUUGUUGGGUUAUGUGUAUGUAUAGGUGGAGUGACAUCUAUGUCAUUUUUGAAGUUCUUUCCAUCUGUGUACGAGAAACAAAAGGCGGAUAGUUCGACGAACCAGUACUGUAAAUUUGACAGUUUUACUCUCACUUUGUUCACUUUAUCUCUGUACUUGGCUGCUCCGUUGUCCUCGCUCGUUGCAUCAACGGUGACCAGAAAAGUGGGCAGAAAGUUGUCGAUGCUGUUCGGAGAUGUACUGUUCUGCGUUGGAGCUCUCGUCAAUGGGUUUGCUCAAGCAGUCUGGAUGCUAAUUGUUGGUCGUAUUUUGCUUGGUUUUGGUAUUGGAUUUGCUAAUCAGGUACUUCCCUAUCACAGGCCCAAUUUCGGGUUCUUCUCGCAAUUCUUCGUCUGCUUUGACUUCAUAUUCUUCUAUCCAAGUCCAAUCUGCUUGGUUUAGUGAUCGAUCUUACGAAUACUAGUCGUUACUAUCAUGCAUCAGAUUUGAAGAAAGAAGCUAUUAAGCAUGUUAAGAUUCAAUGCAAGGGGCGCGAUUCCGUACCUGAUAAUGAUGCUGUAAAUUACUUUGUUGAAGCUCUAGAAAAUGAGAUUUAAUAUUGGACAGACUUUUCAAAAGUUCACAAUCAUCCCUAGAGUUUAUACGAAUAUAUUGGUUUUCAUAUGAUUGUAUGGAAUUAUUAUUUUAGAUUGGAAUAUACUUAGUUUGUAUGGAAUUUGACAUUAAGUUAUUUAUUUUUGGAUGGUUGGAAGUGAAAUGGAUGCAAAUUGCGAAAUG